GGAUUUCAGUGCCCAGCUCUACUGGGACACUCAGCUGCUGAACGACUUCUUAAUGGGUGCCUUUGUCAUUGUCCUCAAGGCUUCCAUCACUGCUUCUGGAUGGUGACUUCAUAUUGCAGUCAUUAUGCAAAAUUCCUUCUUGAUAUGGUUAAAGUGGUUCAUUAGAGAGAGGCAAGGUGAGAGUGUGUUCACCACAUGCCUGCUGCUUUUACAAAUGAGGUAAAAAUGAAUUUCUUGUGAUGCUGAGUACUGAGUUUGGUGUGGAGUCAAAUAAACUCUGCUCUCUGACCCUUGCUAAGAGCUGAGACAUCCAAUGGCCUGGCUCAUGCUGGCCUCAGGGACUCCAGUUAUCCCUCUCUGUGUCCUAGUGAUGGGAAGGAUCUGAUCAUCAACUGUGGGAACAAAAAACAGUAACUAAUGUUUAUUUUCUACUUAGGCUGAGCUCCUGCAAGCUAAUUUACACCUUUAUUCUUCACUUGCUUUCCUGGCAGCAGGAUCUGCAUAUAAAGCUCCUUCCUCUGCACUGCUUUCACCCACAAGUCUGAUUGAAUUGCACAUUGCAGAAUGCAGUGUGUGGAGGGCAUGCACAGCACCAGUGUGAGCAGGUGUCCCCCAUGUUGGAUGAGCUGGUGCAGCUGCAGAGAUUUGCAUCUUUUCCAUUUGUAUGGAAUGUACCUGUUGCUGCCAUCUCCCUAUAACAGAGGGCUAUCUCUUCGGUAUCCUCAGGAUUUGCAGGGAGGAAAGUGA
rnacentral:lncRNA from 1 species